GAUGAACGCUAGCGGCAGGCCUAAUACAUGCAAGUCGAACGGUGUCUUCGGACAUAGUGGCGCACGGGUGCGUAACACGUAUGCAACCUACCUUACAUUGGGGGAUAGCCUUUCGAAAGGGAGAUUAAUACCGCAUAAGACAGUAGCUGGGCAUCCAGCAGCUGUUAAAGAUUUAUCGAUGUAAGAUGGGCAUGCGUCCAAUUAGUUAGUUGGCGAGGUAAUGGCUCACCAAGACGAUGAUUGGUAGGGGAACUGAGAGGUCAAUCCCCCACACUGGCACUGAGAUACGGGCCAGACUCCUACGGGAGGCAGCAGUAGGGAAUAUUGGGCAAUGGGCGCAAGCCUGACCCAGCCAUGCCGCGUGCAGGAAGAAGGCGUUCUGCGUUGUAAACUGCUUUUAUAUAGGAAGAAACGGCCCUUGCGAGGGACAUUGACGGUACUAUAUGAAUAAGCACCGGCUAACUCCGUG
rnacentral:rRNA from 1 species